rnacentral:rRNA from 1 species
AGAGUUGAUCAUGGCUCAGAUUGAACGCUGGCGGCAGGCUUAACACAUGCAAGUCGAACGGUAACGGAUAGGAAGCUUGCUUCUUAUGCCGACGAGUGGCGGACGGGUGAGUAAUGCUUGGGAAUCUGGCUUAUGGAGGGGGAUAACGACGGGAAACUGUCGCUAAUACCGCGUAAUGUCUACGGACUAAAGGAUGGGACUUUCGAGCCAUUCGCCAUAAGAUGAGCCCAAGUGGGAUUAGGUAGUUGGUGAGGUAAAGGCUUACCAAGCCGUCGAUCUCUAGCUGGUCUGAGAGGAUGACCAGCCACACCGGGACUGAGACACGGCCCGGACUCCUACGGGAGGCAGCAGUGGGGAAUAUUGCACAAUGGGGGGAACCCUGAUGCAGCCAUGCCGCGUGAAAAUGAAGAAGGCCUUCGGGUUGUAAAGUUCUUUCGGUGGCGAGGAAGGCGGGUAUUUUAAUAGAAUGCCUGAUUGACGUUAAUCACAGAAGAAGCACCGGCUAACUCCGUGCCAGCCGCAGC